CUACGGGAGGCAGCAGGCGAGAAAACUUUGCAAUGUGCGAAAGCACGACAAGGUUAAUCCGAGUGGUUUCUGCUAAAGGAACCUUUUGUCGGUCCUAGAAACACCGAUGAAUAAGGGGUGGGCAAGUUCUGGUGUCAGCCGCCGCGGUAAAACCAGCACCUCAAGUGGUCAGGAUGAUUAUUGGGCCUAAAGCAUCCGUAGCCGGCUCUGUAAGUUUUCGGUUAAAUCUGUACGCUCAACGUACAGGCUGCCGGGAAUACUGCAGAGCUAGGGAGUGGGAGAGGUAGACGGUACUCGGUAGGAAGGGGUAAAAUCCUUUGAUCUAUUGAUGACCACCUGUGGCGAAGGCGGUCUACCAGAACACGUCCGACGGUGAGGGAUGAAAGCUGGGGGAGCAAACCGGAUUAGAUACCCGGGUAGUC
rnacentral:rRNA from 1 species